UCUUCUUCAACAAAGAUUACAAACUUCUUGGAGGAUUUGCAAGGAUCUAUGAAUCGAAGUAUUUCAAUAUAGAUACUGGAUUAUGAAAAUUAUUGGAUUUACAUGGAUUUACAAAGAUCUUCCCUUUAGGUUUGUGUUUAACUCAUGGUCGCAUGGUAAAAGCCAACUUUUUUACUACUUUAAUAUUUUAUUGAAUCUUUCAUUUUGAGUUUUACUUUUUGAUAUUUAGGGUUCAAUUUAUGUUUUUUGAUUUUAUGGGUUGGGAUAAAGAAUCUUUUAAGGUGUUAAAGAAUUGAACUUGUUGUUGGAUGACGUCAAACUUUCCAUUCAGAUGUGGUUGUGGACUUGGUGUGUUAUCGUCGAUUUGGCCACAAUGAGAUUGACGAACCAUCUUUCACACAACCUAAAAUAUAUAAGGUCUUCUUUGUUGCUAUAUCUCCACGGUUCUUCCCUCAUAUUGACAUGUAUGGUAUUUAAUGAAAGUUUUAAUUGAUCUAACUACCGCAGAGGUUGUUCACAUUGAUCUUGGUGUAUCUUUUGAAAAGUAGUUUAAUAAUUGAGUUAUUUUCUUAAUGCCGCAGAAAACUUCCAAUAUUUUUAUUGGAAACAAAAAGUCAGUGGUUGUUGCUAAGAAAGAGGAUAAGAUAAAUGUUGCUAAGGAUAGCAGUGAUAUUUCGAGGAAAGUGAUACUGAUGAGAACCACGAGGAUGAACCAUCCAAAACACCUCAGAAACAGGGUAGCAUAUUGUUUGAUCUUUUGGUUUUAAUUUCUGGAUUAUUUUUAUUUUUUGUAAUGUUUGAUAUUUUGAUUUUAAUU